ACGUCAUUCUGCAUGAAGCUUGUUAGAACAAUUGGUUGCUUUCUAUUUGGUGAUGUUAGUGGUAACUGAUAAGGGGUUCAAACUACAUCUUCCAAGUAUCUUAAUUUUAUCAGAUUGAUUAAAGUUGGGGGUUGUACUGUAACCCUCCACUAGGGGAAAUUUAUAUUUUCAUAUUGGCAGAAGUUGGAUCCCAUAGUAGAUCAAAUUAUGCUGAAAUCUUUGUGGUUGGCCAUCAAAUUACAGAUUUUCUACCAACUAAUUAAACUAAGGGUACUAAUACAAUUUUGAGUAAAUUCAUCCUGUGAAAGCAAGUUGGCAAAUCUGCAGAAGGGCCUAAUAAAAGCAAAAGCGGCACCUCUCUUGGACAAGCUUGUUUUUGACAAGAUAAAACAAGAGCUAGGAGGACAAGUUUGUAUAAUGUUGUCUGGUGCUGCACCUUUGCCCAGGCAUGCGGAGGAAUUUAUCAGAAGGAUAUGGCCUUACUGAAAGCUGUGGUGGUUGUUUUACGUCCCUUAGCAAUGUUUGUCCUAUGAUUAGAACUGUUGGUGCCCCCCUGACAACUAUUGAAGCGCGGCUUGAGUCAGUCCCAGAACUGGGAUAUGAUGCACUUUCUAGUGUGCCAUGUGGAGAGAUUUUCCUAAGAGGAAAAACCUUGUUUUCUGGUUACCACAAGUG